rnacentral:rRNA from 1 species
GUACACUCCUGCGGGAGGCAGCAGUGGGGAAUAUUGCACAAUGGGCGCAAGCCUGAUGCAGCCAUGCCGCGUGUAUGAAGAAGGCCUUCGGGUUGUAAAGUACUUUCAGCGGGGAGGAAGGCGAUAAGGUUAAUAACCUUGUCGAUUGACGUUACCCGCAGAAGAAGCACCGGCUAACUCCGUGCCAGCAGCCGCGGUAAUACGGAGGGUGCAAGCGUUAAUCGGAAUUACUGGGCGUAAAGCGCACGCAGGCGGUCUGUCAAGUCGGAUGUGAAAUCCCCGGGCUCAACCUGGGAAUUGCAUUCGAAACUGGCAGGCUAGAGUCUUGUAGAGGGGGGUAGAAUUCCAGGUGUAGCGGUGAAAUGCGUAGAGAUCUGGAGGAAUACCGGUGGCGAAGGCGGCCCCCUGGACAAAGACUGACGCUCAGGUGCGAAAGCGUGGGGAGCAAACAGGAUUAGAAACCCUAGUAGUCCC